rnacentral:tRNA from 1 species
GGUGGCCGUCGCCUAGAGGCCCAAGGCUCCAGGUCGUGACCCUGGCAUCACCGGUUCAACUCCGGUCGGUCACCCCCA